CCUACGGGGGGCAGCAGUGAGGAAUAUUGGUCAAUGGACUAGAGUCUGAACCAGCCAAGUAGCGUGAAGGAUGACUGCCCUAUGGGUUGUAAACUUCUUUUAUAUGGGAAUAAAAUGUUCCACGUGUGGGAUUUUGUAUGUACCAUAUGAAUAAGGAUCGGCUAACUCCGUGCCAGCAGCCGCGGUAAUACGGAGGAUCCGAGCGUUAUCCGGAUUUAUUGGGUUUAAAGGGAGCGUAGGUGGAUUGUUAAGUCAGUUGUGAAAGUUUGCGGCUCAACCGUAAAAUUGCAGUUGAAACUGGCAGUCUUGAGUACAGUAGAGGUGGGCGGAAUUCGUGGUGUAGCGGUGAAAUGCUUAGAUAUCACGAAGAACUCCGAUUGCGAAGGCAGUUCACUGGACUGCAACUGACACUGAGGCUCGAAAGUGUGGGUAUCAAACAGGAUUAGAUACCCGGGUAGUC
rnacentral:rRNA from 1 species